rnacentral:rRNA from 1 species
CGCUGGCGGCGUGCUUAACACAUGCAAGUCGAACGAUGAUGCCAGCUUGCUGGUGGAUUAGUGGCGAACGGGUGAGUAACACGUGAGUAACCUGCCCUUGACUCUGGGAUAAGCCUGGGAAACUGGGUCUAAUACCGGAUAUGACCUUCCAUCGCAUGGUGGUUGGUGGAAAGCUUUUGUGGUUUUGGAUGGACUCGCGGCCUAUCAGCUUGUUGGUGGGGUAAUGGCCUACCAAGGCGACGACGGGUAGCCGGCCUGAGAGGGUGACCGGCCACACUGGGACUGAGACACGGCCCAGACUCCUACGGGAGGCAGCAGUGGGGAAUAUUGCACAAUGGGCGCAAGCCUGAUGCAGCGACGCCGCGUGAGGGAUGACGGCCUUCGGGUUGUAAACCUCUUUCAGUAGGGAAGAAGCGUAAGUGACGGUACCUGCAGAAGAAGCGCCGGCUAACUACGUGCCAGCAGCCGCGGUAAUACGUAGGGCGCAAGCGUUAUCCGGAAUUAUUGGGCGUAAAGAGCUCGUAGGCGGUUUGUCGCGUCUGCCGUGAAAGUCCGGGGCUCAACUCCGGAUCUGCGGUGGGUACGGGCAGACUAGAGUGAUGUAGGGGAGACUGGAAUUCCUGGUGUAGCGGUGAA